UACGUAGGGGGCAAGCGUUGUCCGGAUUUAUUGGGCGUAAAGAGCGUGUAGGCGGUUUGGUAGGUCCGCUGUGAAAACUCGAGGCUCAACCUCGAGACGCCGGUGGAAACCAUCAGACUAGAGUCCGGAAGAGGAGAGUGGAAUUCCUGGUGUAGCGGUGAAAUGCGCAGAUAUCAGGAAGAACACCCGUGGCUAAGGCGGCUCUCUAGUACGGUACU
rnacentral:rRNA from 1 species